rnacentral:rRNA from 1 species
AUACGUAGGGGGCGAGCGUUGUCCGGAAUGAUUGGGCGUAAAGGGCGCGUAGGCGGCCGCUUAAGUCUGGAGUGAAAGUCCUGUUUUCAAGAUGGGAAUUGCUUUGGAUACUGGGGGGCUUGAGUGCAGGAGAGGUUAUCGGAAUUCCCGGUGUAGCGGUGAAAUGCGUAGAGAUCGGGAGGAACACCAGUGGCGAAGGCGGGUAACUGGACUGCAACUGACGCUGAGGCGCGAAAGUGUGGGGAGCAAACAGGAUUAGAUACCCUGGUAGUCCACACUGUAAACGAUGAAUGCUAGGUGUAAGAGGUAUCGACCCCUUUUGUGCCGGAGUCAACACAAUAAGCAUUCCGCCUGGGGAGUACGGCCGCAAGGUUGAAACUCAAAGGAAUCGACGGGG